GGUGUCCCACAAAGAUCCACCAGCACCAGCAACAUGAGCUCUGGCCUCACAUGGCCCCUUCCAGCUUGCCCACGCCAAGGCCUCGUGUUCCCACAGCAGACGCCAGUGCCUUGUGUUUGCUGGCUACACAGAUACUCCGAGGGAGUACUUAGGGAUUCAAAUCAUCACUGAAGGUAAAAGCCCUCUCAGACAUGAGGACACCAAAGUCCUUCAGAGCAUGGCCAUAUGAUAGCACCAAGCUAAAUUCCUCCACCUGAAAGAUUCUGCAUGUGUCACGUCCCAGGGUAUCCAGGAAAGCAGCAGUGCAAAUAGAUCCACUUCUUAGCAAGGAGGUUUCAAAAGACAGGAUGAUCAAACAGCUUGCUGUUUGGCACAUGCUCCUUCUGCCUGUAUUGCUCCUUCUGCCUUCUCUGAAAUGCUGGUCACCAUUUCAACAGCUCUAAAACUGGAUGUUGCAGGUGUCUCACUUUGACAGCUGCAAUUUUACUGAUGCUGUGCAGCACAGGAUGCCCACUCUCAUUACGUUUCAAGGCACAGGAAAUGCAACUCAGUAUCUGAAUGCAUAAGAAGGAAGGAGCUUUUUAAAGUUCAAGGAUUCAAGAAGCCUGUUGACACCAAUACACGCUGGCAUAUAAAAAUAAAUUACAGACUUUAAUAUUUACAUGUGCUGGCUUCCAACCCCCCAAAAGCCUGCACUGAGGAGGUUCACAAAUGGGAAGUGAAGAACUGCCAGGCACUUGUAUCCUUAUUGUGAAGACUGACUGAAGAGAAGCAUGCCAAACACAAGGUGCUGCAUAUAAACCUUUGAAUCAGAAUGGGUAACUACACAAAUGAUAAACAAAAUAAAAAUAUGCUAAGAAAUAUGCAUGUGUUCACUACA